GGGAGACACAGUGGUUUCCAGAAGUGCAAGAGUCCAGCAUCAUUCUCAAUAUCAGCAAAACAAGCACAAAAGAUACCUUCUGCCAAUACAUUCCCACUGAGCCAGCAGUGUUUUGUCCAAAGAUAUUUUAAUCAUUAUCACUCGUCACUCCAAAAUGGUCAGACACAGUUCAGAGCUGUAUUCUUCCUGUGAUUUUUGUUGGUCAACAGAGGGCCAGAGACAGAUCUGUACAUCACUUCAGUCCAACAAACCCUGUUGUGAGAGGCUUCCCUGGCAUUUAAGUGAGAUCCAUCACUGUAACAUGCACCUCCCAAGUGUUAUCACUGAAUUGUUUGCCAGCGUAUGUCUGAAUCAAAGAGAAGGGGCAGAAAGUGUCCUGGCUGAUGUGCAACCUUUUAAUGAUUUUCUUCUGCAAUCACUCACAGAAUGCCAUUUGAGGAGCUGUGAAAGAAUGACUUUUAAAACCCAAGCUAUUCUAUGAUUCUGUGAUUGUAAAACAAGACCUCAGACCUUCAUGAUCAUUUUCUUUACAUCAAAAGCUCAUUCUGAAUCUCAAGUGUAUUAAUUGCUCAAUCUUAAUUCUUCA
ensembl:lncRNA